rnacentral:rRNA from 1 species
UACAGAGGUCUCAAGCGUUGUUCGGAUUCCUUGGGCGUAAAGGGUGCGUAGGCGGCGCGGUAAGUCGGGUGUGAAAUCUUGGAGCUUAACUCCGAAACUGCAUUCGAUACUGCCGUGCUUGAGGACUGGAGAGGAGACUGGAAUUUACGGUGUAGCGGUGAAAUGCGUAGAUAUCGUAAGGAAGACCAGUGGCGAAGGCGGGUCUCUGGGCCGAUACUGACGCUGAGGAGCGAAAGCGUGGGGAGCAAACAGG